GCCCACGCGCCCUCGCCUUCCCCGCCGCCCCCGGGGGGGCAGGAACCCUCCCCCCCGAGCCCCUCAGCCCCCAGCCUGGCUCUUUAAGUUACUACAGAAACGCGGAGGUCGGGAAGCUGCCUCCCAGCCCGGAGCUUGAACUUGAACGCGGCCGGCCGCUCGCGCAGGACCACACCGCCACCUCCCGGCGCGGCCCCAGAACCCAGCUAAUCCGUUUCCAGCAGUUAGAAAGUCCAAGAAGUUUUUAGUGCGUUGUAGCAGGUAUCAGGGAUCAGAUCAGCGGACACGCCCAUUCCAGCAGUCGGGGCCUCCUCGGACCGUCGUGCGCCUCCGAGCAUUUCUGUGCCGUCCCGCUGGGUCCGUCUGGUUUUCGGCGGCUUUCCUGGAAAAGCCAGCCUGUGGUUACCUCCUUUCUCCCCUGAGUGGCGGGGGAUUAGAAGGCAGAGGGUGACCCACAGUCUACAGUGACUGGUCGCCUUUUUCCAGAUUUCCCGGCACAUUCCUUCACCCCGUGGCAUCGGCUGUCUGCAUAUUGGGUGCAAGGCCCUGUUCCGGGCGAAGAAUAAACAGGAGUUCUGACUGCCAGCAGCUCCGCAGCCAACAGCAUGGCUAACAGAUCCACCACCCAGUCGAGUUGAGAAGUGCAGUCCCCUCUGCCUGCUGCCUCUCCUGCCAUCAGUGAACCUGCUUAACUCAUCUGACUGUGCCUCUCGGUACUUGCUGGGACACGUCUCCAGCCCUUGCUGCUCUCUCCCCCAGACCCACAUCCCACACCCGGAUGGUGACUGGGCCGACUCUGGAUCUUCUGGACCCAGUGUUUCUCCCUGAUACAAUUCCUUCCUCUGUGUUUUAGGAUCCUGAUGCUUUGAUAAGAUGCUCUAAUCCCAGCCAGGGACAUUUGCAGCAGCCUGGACUGCGGUUCUGCACGCUGGGUGCACUCGGUCUAAGGCACCAACUCCCCAUGAGAGUGAAAGAAGGGGUUUGGGGCAGUACAGAGCAAGCUCCUGAGGCCACAGGGCUGACAAAGCCCUCGGCUUUGGGGGCACUUUGUUUCUUCAAAACUAAAAUGCAGGCACUGGAGCAAAUCAUUUGUUCCUAAAA